UCGGUCCUCCGUGAAGACAUAGGGAAAAUGGCGCCAAGAUGUGCAGAGAAGGCACCAGCAGGAGAAUGAGUUGGAGAACAUACAAGACUAUUUUGUAUUCACUUUGAAGGAACCAAACAGAUGAUCAGUGGGAGAUAAAGGUCCUGCAGAGUAAGGGGAAGUAUGAUAUCUGCUGCUGUUCUUCCUUUGAGCAAAUAGUACUCCCUCCCACCUCUUUGUACACAGCAACACCCAUGUAGAUGGAUCGCUACCAUGAAAAAUAAUAUUUUCUUAUAUAAAUAAAUGCAGCCACUACUUA